rnacentral:rRNA from 1 species
CCCCUAGUAACUGCGAGUGAAGCGGGAAAAGCUCAAAUUUAAAAUCUGGCAGUCUUUGGCUGUCCGAGUUGUAGUCUGGAGAAGCGUUUUCCGCGCUGGACCGUGUACAAGUCUCCUGGAACGGAGCGUCAUAGAGGGUGAGAAUCCCGUCUUUGACACGGACUACCAGUGCUUUGUGAUGCGCUCUCAAAGAGUCGAGUUGUUUGGGAAUGCAGCUCAAAAUGGGUGGUAAACUCCAUCUAAAGCUAAAUAUUGGCGAGAGACCGAUAGCGAACAAGUACCGUGAGGGAAAGAUGAAAAGCACUUUGGAAAGAGAGUUAAACAGUACGUGAAAUUGCUGAAAGGGAAACGCUUGAAGUCAGUCGCGUUUGCUAGGACUCAGCCUUGCCUCGGCUUGGUGCACUUCCUAGUUAACGGGCCAGCAUCACUUUUGGCUGCGGGAAAAAGGUCAGAGGAAUGUGGCACCUUCGGGUGUGUUAUAGCCUCUGGUUGUAUACCGUGGCUGGGAGUGAGGAUCUCAGCACGCCUUUAUGGCGGGGCUUCGGCCACCUUCGUGCUUAGGAUGCUGGCGUAAUGGCUUUAAACGACCCGUCUUGAAACACGGACCAAGGAGUCUAACAUGCCUGCGAGUGUUUGGGUGGAAAACCCGAGCGCGUAAUGAAAGUGAAAGUUGGGACCUCUGUCGUGGAGGGCACCGACGCCCGGACCAGACCUUCUGUGACGGAUCCGCGGUAGAGCAUGUAUGUUGGGACCCGAAAGAUGGUGAACUAUGCCUGAAUAGGGUGAAGCCAGAGGAAACUCUGGUGGAGGCUCGUAGCGAUUCUGACGUGCAAAUCGAUCGUCAAAUUUGGGUAUAGGGGCGAAAGACUAAUCGAACCAUCUAGUAGCUGGUUCCUGCCGA